GAGAGUUGAAUUGAAAGAGAGUUGAAUUGAAAGACAGUUGAAUUGAAAGAGAGUGGAAUUGAAAGAGAAUUGAAUUGAAAGAGACCGAUGCAGUUUCCAAACCUUUUAUUGCUUCUCCUUUCAUCUUGCUUCAUUCACCAGGCUAUACAUCACCAGGCUGUACUUCAUUCACCAGGCUAUACAUCACCAGGCUGUACUUCAUUCACCAGGUUGUACUUCACCAGGCUGUACUUCAUUCACCAGGUUGUACUUCACCAGGCUGUACUUCAUUCACCAGGCUGUACUUCACCAGGCUGUACUUCAUUCACC
ensembl:lncRNA